GACGAACGCUUGCGGCGUGCUUAACACAUGCAAGUCGAACGGAAAGGCCCUGCUUUUGUGGGGUGCUCGAGUGGCGAACGGGUGAGUAACACGUGAGUAACCUGCCCUUGACUUUGGGAUAACUUCAGGAAACUGGGGCUAAUACCGGAUAGGAGCUCCUGCUGCAUGGUGGGGGUUGGAAAGUUUCGGCGGUUGGGGAUGGACUCGCGGCUUAUCAGCUUGUUGGUGGGGUAGUGGCUUACCAAGGCUUUGACGGGUAGCCGGCCUGAGAGGGUGACCGGCCACAUUGGGACUGAGAUACGGCCCAGACUCCUACGGGAGGCAGCAGUGGGGAAUAUUGCACAAUGGGCGGAAGCCUGAUGCAGCAACGCCGCGUGCGGGAUGACGGCCUUCGGGUUGUAAACCGCUUUCGCCUGUGACGAAGCGUGAGUGACGGUAAUGGGUAAAGAAGCACCGGCUAACUACGUGCCAGCAGCCGCGGUGAUACGUAGGGUGCGAGCGUUGUCCGGAUUUAUUGGGCGUAAAGGGCUCGUAGGUGGUUGAUCGCGUCGGAAGUGUAAUCUUGGGGCUUAACCCUGAGCGUGCUUUCGAUACGGGUUGACUUGAGGAAGGUAGGGGAGAAUGGAAUUCCUGGUGGAGCGGUGGAAUGCGCAGAUAUCAGGAGGAACACCAGUGGCGAAGGCGGUUCUCUGGGCCUUUCCUGACGCUGAGGAGCGAAAGCGUGGGGAGCGAACAGGCUUAGAUACCCUGGUAGUCCACGCUGUAAACGGUGGGUACUAGGUGUGGGGUCCAUUCCACGGGUUCCGUGCCGUAGCUAACGCUUUAAGUACCCCGCCUGGGGAGUACGGCCGCAAGGCUAAAACUCAAAGGAAUUGGCGGGGCCCCGCACAAGCGGCGGAGCAUGCGGAUUAAUUCGAUGCAACGCGUAGAACCUUACCUGGGUUUGACAUGGAUCGGGAGUGCUCAGAGAUGGGUGUGCCUCUUUUGGGUCGGUUCACAGGUGGUGCAUGCCUGUCGUCAGCUCGUGUCGUGAGAUGUUGGGUUAAGUCCCGCAACGAGCGCAACCCUUGUUCACUGUUGCCAGCACGUUAUGGUGGGGACUCAGUGGAGACCGCCGGGGUCAACUCGGAGGAAGGUGGGGAUGACGUCAAGUCAUCAUGCCCCUUAUGUCCAGGGCUUCACGCAUGCUACAAUGGCUGGUACAGAGAGUGGCGAGCCUGUGAGGGUGAGCGAAUCUCGGAAAGCCGGUCUCAGUUCGGAUUGGGGUCUGCAACUCGACCUCAUGAAGUCGGAGUCGCUAGUAAUCGCAGAUCAGCAACGCUGCGGUAAAUACGUUCCCGGGGCU
rnacentral:rRNA from 1 species